AAAUCCUCCGUGCGACCGUGCGUGACUCGGUCUGCUCCGCCGGCGCCAUCCGCCUCCGCGCCUCCGUCCGCCGAGCGCGCCGCUCCGCGCCUCCACUGAUCCGUCCGCCAGACCGCCACUGCCACAGUCGAGCGCCCGACCUGGCCGCAAGCCCGCAGUGGCGCAGUGUCGUCCGGCGUCCGCUCAGCGCCUCAGCCCGACCCGCCAAGCCACGAGCAGGCGAGCUGCUCCGCCGUCCGGCGAGCUGCUCCGCCGCGCCUCCGACUCUCCGUCCACCGAUCGUCGUCCACUCGGCCCGAGCGGCCGAGCCGCUCCGCGCCCUGCUCGCCUGCUCUGCUCGCUGGCUCCGCGCUCUGCUCGCCCGGCGGUUCCUCGUCCGUCUUCACGAGCUGCAGUUGACCUGUGAGGAGAAGAGGAGAUGCUGCUGCACGCAGCAGCAGUGCAGCUGCAGAGCCUGCGUUGCUCUGCAAUUGCCAUGACUAUCCCUGAAGAUGCCAUGGCAUGCAUGCCUACUGGUUCCUGCAUCAGCAUGUGGCUGCAACCUGGGGACUAUUGAAGACCAAGAGAGUCCGUGAGUGUCUAUUCUCACCCUCGAAUAGGCGUGCGAGAUGGAGCAUAGCCUGCCCGGGACGGGACCUCCACUGCCAGUUGCCGGCUUGCCGCCUGCUUGGCGCGUAGCUGAGGGCCUCCUCAAUUCUUUGCGAGUCUUUUUGGAGCUAGCGAAGGAACUCUUGAUUGCACGGUGGUCCUCCCAAUAAUGGCAUCAUCACUCAUCAGCCAUUCCUGGGUUGUCAUUGUAAGGCUAUCCGUAACCGUUACCUCUAAAUUUUUCCACCUAUAUCACUUUUCCCCCCUAUUUUUUCAUCUCCCGCAGCGGUUCCCCCUAAAUACUCCCCUAUACCCCACUACAACUAUAAAAUAUCAUUUUCUAUAUCAA